rnacentral:rRNA from 1 species
UGGGGAAUAUUGCACAAUGGGCGCAAGCCUGAUGCAGCCAUGCCGCGUGUGUGAAGAAGGCCUUCGGGUUGUAAAGUACUUUCAGUCGGGAGGAAGGUGGUAAGGUUAAUAACCUUAUCAAUUGACGUUACCGACAGAAGAAGCACCGGCUAACUCCGUGCCAGCAGCCGCGGUAAUACGGCGGGUGCAAGCGUUAAUCGGAAUUAAUGGGCGUAAAGCGCACGCAGGCGGUUGAUUGAGUCAGAUGUGAAAUCCCCGGGCUUAACCCGGGAAUUGCAUCUGAUACUGGUCAGCUAGAGGCUUGUAGAGGGGGGUAGAAUUCCAUGUGUAGCGGUGAAAUGCGUAGAGAUGUGGAGGAAUACCGGUGGCGAAGGCGGCCCCCUGGACAAAGACUGACGCUCAGGUGCGAAAGCGUGGGGAGCAAACAGG